rnacentral:tRNA from 1 species
UAUCAAGGGAUGGGAAUCGAACCCACGACCUUCCGCUUACCGGGCAGAUGCCAUGACCACUAGGCUACCUUGGAC